rnacentral:rRNA from 1 species
UAAGCGGAGGAAAAGAAACUAACAAGGAUUCCCCUAGUAACUGCGAGUGAAGCGGGAAAAGCUCAAAUUUAAAAUCUGGUGGCCUUUGUCCAUCCGAGUUGUAAUUUAGAGAAGCGUCUUCCGCGCUGGACCGUGCACAAGUCUCCUGGAACGGAGCGUCAUAGAGGGUGAGAAUCCCGUCUUUGGCACGGACAUGCCAGGGCUUUUGUGAUGCGCUCUCGAAGAGUCGAGUUGUUUGGGAAUGCAGCUCAAAAUGGGUGGUGAACUCCAUCUAAAGCUAAAUAUUGGCGAGAGACCGAUAGCGAACAAGUACCGUGAGGGAAAGAUGAAAAGCACUUUGGAAAGAGAGUGAAACAGUACGUGAAAUUGUUGAAAGGGAAACGCUUGAAGUCAGUCGCGUCGACCGAGACUCAGCCUUGCCUUGGCUUGGUGUACUUCUCGGCUGACGGGUCAGCAUCAAUUUUGCCCCUUGGAUAAUGGCGAGGGAAAUGUGACACCUUUACGGUGUGUUAUAGUCUCUUGUCGCAUGCAAGGGUUGGGAUUGAGGAACUCAGCACGCGCCUUUGGGUGUCGGGGUUUUUGCCCACGAUACGUGCUUAGGAUGUUGGCGUAAUGGCUUUAAACGACC